ACAUUGGGCUAUACUCCUUCAUAUAAGAAGCUUUGGGUUGGGAAGCAAAAAGCAAUUGAACAUGUGUUUGGAAACUGGGAAGAGUCUUAUGUCGCUUUACCAAAAUAUCUAGGCGCACUUCAAAAGUUCAAUCCAGGAACUAUAGUUGAAUGGUGUGUUUCAAGAUCGAUUGAUGUGAAUGAAGUUGAAUUUAGGCGUGUUUUUUGGGCUUUUGCUCCCUCUAUCAAAGGGUUUCACUAUUGUCGACCGGUUAUUAGCAUUGAUGGUACACACUUGUAUGGAAAAUACAAGGGUAAGAUGUUGAUUGCAAUGGGAGUUGAUGGUAAUAAUCAAAUUUUGCCACUUGCAUUUGCUAUUGUAGAAAAUGAAUCUUAUGAUACUUGGGAUUGGUUUCUUUCUCAUGUCAAGAAUCAUGUGGUAAAAGACCGUGAAGGCAUAUGUCUAAUAUCUGAUCGUCAUGGUGGAAUUCUUAAGGCUGUCAAUGAGCAUGGAUCUCCAUGGCUAGAGUCACGUGGUUUUCAUAGGUAUUGUUUACGACAUUUCAUCAGCAACUUUUAUGACAAGUUUCGUAAUUCAGAAUUGAAAGUUUUAGCUUAUCGUGCCGGCAGUCAGAAUCAAAUUCGAAAGUUCAACUACAUCAUGGAAGAAAUUGGGAAGUUAAAUCCACGUGCUCGAGAAUGGUUGGAGAGUCAUCCACUUAAUAGAUGGACACUUGCACAUGAUGGUGGAAGGAGAUAUGGGUUGCUCACAACAAAUUUGUCAGAGAUUUUCAACAGUGUACUUAA